CCUACGGGUGGGCAGCAGUGAGGAAUAUUGGUCAAUGGACGAGAGUCUGAACCAGCCAAGUAGCGUGAAGGAUGACUGCCCUAUGGGUUGUAAACUUCUUUUAUAAAGGAAUAAAACGAGGCACGUGUGCUUUUUUGCAUUUUCUUUCUGAUUAAGGACCGGCUAACCCCGUGCCAGCAGCCGCGGUAAUACGGAGGAUCCGAGCGUUAUCCGGAUUUAUUGGGUUUAAAGGGAGCGUAGAUGGGUUGUUAAGUCGGUGGUGAAAGUUUGCGGUUCAACCGUAAAAUUGCAAUUGAUACUGGCAGUCUUGGGUACAAUUGAGGUAAGCGGAAUUCGUUGGGUAGCGGUGGAAAGCUU
rnacentral:rRNA from 1 species